rnacentral:piRNA from 1 species
UGAGCCGAGAUCGUGCCACUGCACCCCAGC